GAAUUUAUAUAUUUAUUUUUAAAUUUAAAGAUUUAAGGUUACGAAUAAGAGUAAAAAAAAAAAACAUUCUUACAUACAAAUCUCGUAUAAAUGAUUAAACGGGAUUAGGAGAAAUAGAGGGAAUGCGAGAUAUAAAAUGAAGUGAAGGGAGGGCAGAAAAUCCAAGGUAGGGGACCUGCAAAACCCAAGAACGCUUUGGCUUUUAUGUAUGGAAUUAACUAUUUGUUACAAAUAGUCUUUGUAUUGACCGAUAAAAAAAAGAAGUGAAGUUUGUUGCCGCUUUUGCUCCUUCCUUAACCUCCUCCUUUACCCCAUAAUAAACUCCAGGGACUUUGUUUUUGCCUUUGCCUUUGCUUCCUUUUUCCUCAGUUUUCUUCUUUAAAUUCCCUUAAUUUCUCAGCUUCCAUGGAAAUACAAGAGAGAAGAACAUCAGAGGUAGCUCUUUCUUUUUCUCGUAAUUCAAGUGCAGUGAAAAGUCAAAAGACAAGAUGGAAAGGCAAGUCCAGGAAAGAGUUGCCAAACCUGACUCGGCAUGAGAGUGACUCAACCCUGAAAUCAAAACCCAUCCAUACCCGAAUUAUUAUGGUUUUAAUUUAGAUCAGGUUAUACUUACUAUAUGAAUGACAGAAAAUAUUCAGUGAUAAAGAAUUUGUACACGUGUUAAUCAUUGGAUAUAUAUUUUUUUAAUAAUCUUUUACAGAGUUUUGAUCGUA